AUCUGCGAUAAGCGCCGGUAAGGUGAUAUGAACCGUUAUAACCGGCGAUACCCGAAUGGGGAAACCCAGUGUGACUCGUCACACUAUCAUUAACUGAAUCCAUAGGUUAAUGAGGCGAACCGGGGGAACUGAAACAUCUAAGUACCCCGAGGAAAAGAAAUCAACCGAGAUUCCCCCAGUAGCGGCGAGCGAACGGGGAGGAGCCCAGAGCCUGAAUCAGCAUGUGUGUUAGUGGAAGCGUCUGGAAAGGCGCGCGAUACAGGGUGACAGCCCCGUACACAAAAGCGCAUGUGCUGUGAGCUCGAUGAGUAGGGCGGGACACGUGGUAUCCUGUCUGAAUAUGGGGGGACCAUCCUCCAAGGCUAAAUACUCCUGACUGACCGAUAGUGAACCAGUACCGUGAGGGAAAGGCGAAAAGAACCCCGGCGAGGGGAGUGAAAAAGAACCUGAAACCGUGUACGUACAAGCAGUGGGAGCACCCUUUGGGUGUGACUGCGUACCUUUUGUAUAAUGGGUCAGCGACUUAUAUUCUGUAGCAAGGUUAACCGAAUAGGGGAGC
rnacentral:rRNA from 2 species